UACGUAGGUGGCAAGCGUUGUCCGGAUUUACUGGGCGUAAAGCGUGCGCAGGCGGUUUUGUAAGUCUGGCGUGAAAUCCCCGGGCUCAACCUGGGAAUUGCGAUGGAGACUGCAAGGCUAGAAUCUGGCAGAGGGGGGUAGAAUUCCACGUGUAGCAGUGAAAUGCGUAGAGAUGUGGAGGAACACCGAUGGCGAAGGCAGCCCCCUGGGUCAAGAUUGACGCUCAUGCACGGAAGCGUGGGGAGCAAACAGG
rnacentral:rRNA from 1 species